GUCUACAGCUAUACCACCCUGAACGCACCUGAUCUCUUCUGAUCUCGGAAGCUAAGCAGGGUUAGGACUGGUCAGUACUUGGAUGGGAGAACAUGCACAGUUUGUA
rnacentral:rRNA from 1 species